GAGGGUAUAACUAAACUGGUAGAGUGUGUGCUUGGCAUGCACGAGGUCCUGGGUUCAAUCCUUCAUACCUCCA
rnacentral:tRNA from 1 species